AAUAGGCGGCUUCAAUUUUUAUGAUUUUUCUUGUUACUGAUGGGCCUCUUGAAGACGAGAGAAACAUUUGUCACUGUGUGCAAAAGCAUUGGACAAAUCAAGGAGUGUUAUGUCUAUCCAUCCAUACUUUCGGCAUAGAUAAUUUUUACGUGUUAGGGUCUCCUUUCGAUUUCGUUCACUGAAUUUAGUUCUCGUUGUUGUUGACCGACGCCAGCUUGUUCGGUUAGUUCUUUGCACCGUAAUUGUUAGUUAACUUGUUGCGUGGGAAAUGGGAAUGUUUCAGGUUCAUUCUGUAAUCAUUAUUUCCUGCGCAUGCUUGCCAUGAUUGGCUGGGGAGAAUACGGUGCUGCUAUUGAUUUAGAUUCUAUUGAGGUUCAGAUGAAUAAAUUAUUUAGCAAAGGUGUAUCUACUGUUCACGCAAACAUCACCAUUGAUGCAUUUGAUGAUCGUGAAGAAAUAGAUCCAUUCCAAUUUAGGUUCUCUUCUGAUUUGGGUUUCUUUACAAUGUCCUUGACUCUUCCUGACCUUUCACUUGAAAGUCCAUUGACCAUAUACGGGAGGUACCAAGGAAGUUUUCCCGACAACCUUAGAGUACUUAAAGGACAUAAACGGCUGGAGGAGAAGGCUCGUUUCUAUAUAUUCUAGCAUUUUUUUUCAUCCAAAACCGGUGGGACAAUGCUUUUGGAUCGCAACUACUACUUUGAUUCGAGUACUAGCAAUGUGAAUAGUUAUUAGGGAUAAUAUUACAGCCCGGGUAUAGCUGAAUCGUGGCUGCGGAACGAUGUGAAAAGUUAUUACGGAUAUAACUUUUAUUAAUUGCUCAGUGACCAGACUGCGUCAUUGGGAAUGUGUGUCACUCGUUUUGAUCUGUGCAUUUCUUAGUAGUAAACAACUGAUGCUAAUGCUAUUGAUUUUGUUGUUGGCAGGUUGCAAAGUUGAGCAUACUAACUUGCAACAUCUCCCGAAAUAAAAUGCUCUUCUGGAGCUUGGAAGAAGAAAGGCGAUCCACACAAAAUCCUGGAUUCUGAGCCACCCGAAAUGAUACUGCUUCAAAGACUUUCAGUUGGCUUCAUCGACCUGAUUGCAACUGCCGAAAACAUCCCUCCUGGAUCUCAAGAACCAGAAUUGCCCCAAAACUCUAUUUUUACAGAAAAUGGCUAAAAUUAGUCUUAGAACAUCCCUACUUAUCCAAAGAAACCUUAAUUUAAUAUAACUAAAACUCCAAAAGUUUCAAUAAUACGAGAAUUUUGUAGAAUGAAAUGAAAAAUUUUACAACAUUGAUAAUUGGUAUGGUGAAAAAAGAGACACUAUUUGCAUCCCAA